rnacentral:rRNA from 1 species
AUUGAACGCUGGCGGCAGGCCUAACACAUGCAAGUCGAGCGAGCGGCGGACGGGUGAGUAAUGUAUGGGGAUCUGACUGAUGGAGGGGGAUAACUACUGGAAACGGUAGCUAAUACCGCAUACCAUCAGAUGAACCCAGAUGGGAUUAGCUUUUAGGUGAGGUAACGUCUCACCUAGGCGACGAUCCCUAGCUGGUCUGAGAGGAUGACCAGCCACACUGGGACUGAGACACGGCCCAGACUCCUACGGGAGGCAGCAGUGGUGAAUAUUGCACAAUGGGCGCAAGCCUGAUGCAGCCAUGCCGCGUGUAUGAAGAAGGCCUUCGGGUUGUAAAGUACUUUCAGUCGGGAGGCGUUACCGACAGAAGAAGCACCGGCUAACUCCGUGCCAGCAGCCGCGGUAAUAC